AGAGUUUGAUCCUGGCUCAGAAUCAACGCUGGCGGCGCGCUUAACACAUGCAAGUCGAACGAGAAAGUGGAGCAAUCCAUGAGUAAAGUGGCGCACGGGUGAGUAACACGUGGGUAAUCUGCCUCUGGGUGGGGAAUAACUCUGGGAAACCGGAGCUAAUACCGCAUAAGCCUGCAAGGGGAAAGGCGAAAGUCGCCGAGAGAGGAGCCCGCGGUCGAUUAGCUGGUUGGUGAGGUAAAGGCUCACCAAGGCUGUGAUCGAUAGCCGGCCUGAGAGGGCACACGGCCACACUGGCACUGAAACACGGGCCAGACUCCUACGGGAGGCAGCAGUGGGGAAUCUUGCACAAUGGGGGAAACCCUGAUGCAGCGACGCCGCGUGAGCGAUGAAGCCCUUCGGGGUGUAAAGCUCUUUCGGCAGGGACGAUAAUGACGGUACCUGAAGAAGAAGCUGCGGCUAACUACGUGCCAGCAGCCGCGGUAAUACGUAGGCAGCGAGCGUUGUUCGGAGUUACUGGGCGUAAAGAGUGCGUAGGGCGGGUGGCCCAAGUCUGGGUGUGAAAUCUCCCGGCUCAACCGGGAGGGUGCGCCGGAAACUGGGUUGCUUGAGUACUGGAGAGGCAAGCGGAAUUCCUGGUGUAGCGGUGAAAUGCGUAGAUAUCAGGAGGAACACCCGUGGUGUAGACGGCUUGCUGGACAGUCACUGACGCUGAGGCACGAAAGCGUGGGGAGCAAACAGGAUUAGAUACCCUGGUAGUCCACGCCCUAAACGAUGCAUACUUGGUGUGGGCAGUUCAGUCU
rnacentral:rRNA from 1 species